ACCUUCCAAGGAAUUCAAUAGAAAGUUAUGUUGAUUUUCAUAAAAAAUUUAUUCACCAAUUCGCCGGAUCGAAACACGUGAAGGUCACAUCAACUAGCCUUUUUUCCAUUCGCCAAAACCACAGCGAAUCGUUGCGCAGUUUUCUUGCCAGAUUUAGCGAGGCCACCAUUAAGGUUUCAAAUCCAAACCAGGAGAUGUUCG
rnacentral:lncRNA from 1 species